GGACUGAGACACGGCCCAAACUCCUACGGGAGGCAGCAGUGGGGAAUAUUGGACAAUGGGGGAAACCCUGAUCCAGCGACGCCGCGUGAGUGAAGAAGUGUUUCGGCAUGUAAAGCUCUAUCAGCAGGGAAGAAAAUGACGGUACCUGACUAAGAAGCCCCGGCUAACUACGUGCCAGCAGCCGCGGUAAUACGUAGGGGGCAAGCGUUAUCCGGAUUUACUGGGUGUAAAGGGAGCGUAGACGGUUCUGCAAGUCUGGAGUGAAAGCCCGGGGCUCAACCCCGGGACUGCUUUGGAAACUGUGGAACUAGAGUGCAGGAGAGGUAAGUGGAAUUCCUAGUGUAGCGGUGAAAUGCGUAGAUAUUAGGAGGAACACCAGUGGCGAAGGCGGCUUACUGGACUGUAACUGACGUUGAGGCUCGAAAGCGUGGGGAGCAAACAGGAUUAGAUACCCUGG
rnacentral:rRNA from 2 species